rnacentral:tRNA from 1 species
GUUAAUGUAGCUUAUGUAAAAGCAUAGCACUGAAAAUGCUAAGAUAGAUUUUAAAAAAAUCUCAUAAACA